UACGAAGGGGGCUAGCGUUGUUCGGAAUUACUGGGCGUAAAGCGCACGUAGGCGGAUUUGUUAGUCAGAGGUGAAAUCCCGGGGCUCAACCUCGGAACUGCCUUUGAUACUGCAAGUCUCGAGUCCGGAAGAGGUGAGUGGAAUUCCUAGUGUAGAGGUGAAAUUCGUAGAUAUUAGGAAGAACACCAGUGGCGAAGGCGGCUCACUGGUCCGGUACUGACGCUGAGGUGCGAAAGCGUGGGGAGCAAACAGG
rnacentral:rRNA from 1 species